ensembl:rRNA 5S_rRNA 5S ribosomal RNA
AUCUAUGGCCAACCCACACUGAACACACCAGAUCUGGUCCAAUCUUGGAAGCUAAGCAAGGUCAGGCCUGGCUACACUUUGAAUGGGAGGCUGCAGAGC